rnacentral:rRNA from 1 species
AUCGAACGCUGGCGGCAAGCCUAACACAUGCAAGUCGAACGAGUGGCGGACGGGUGAGUAAUGUCUGGGAAACUGCCUGAUGGAGGGGGCUAACUACUGGCAACGGUAGCUAAUACCGCAUACCAUCGGAUGUGCCCCGCUGGGAUUAGCUAGUAGGUGGGGUAAAGGCUCACCUAGGCGACGAUCCCUAGCUGGUCUGAGAGGAUGACCGGCCACACUGGAACUGAGACACGGUCCAGACUCCUACGGGAGUGAGCGGUGGGGAAUAUUGCACAAUGGGCGAAAGCCUGAGGCAGCCAUGCCGCGUGUAUGAAGAGGGCCUUCGGGUUGUAAAGUACUUGCAGCGGGGAGGCGUUACCCGCAGAAGAAGCACCGGCUAACUCCGUGCCAGCCGCCGCGGUAAUUC